AUGAGGGGACAGCAUCCCCGCAGGGACACUUUACUCUCUGGCUGGUUCAGCAUGAAAGAGAAUCAACUUGGAACUAAAGAGCAAAAUAACCAUUUUUCAUGCCACUACAGAUCUCCAGUUACACAAUAUUCAGUUCCAAAUAUGUUCUGAAAGUGACUCUAAAGGAAUGGUUAGGCUACAACUGAAAAAAGUAUCUUCUGGUCAGCAGACCCAUUCACCUUGGCCACAGGGUAGCUUUAGCAUCUGCAGCAAAGCAGAAUAAUGCCACUUCAGUACUAGCUACAAUGCUCUCAGUAACACUAACAUGGCUAUAGAAGUGUUUUAGCAAGUUCCUCCUUCUACUUUCUUCCCAAAUUCAACAUGUUCAUGAUGGUGAAUCAUUAUUACAAAAUAUACCUGAGCAGGCGUGUGUGAUGACAGGUCUGCAUAGAACUACAUUCAUACACUGAAGCACUCGGAAGAUGAUUGUGAUAGACAUUGUGUGGAAAUGUUGUUGUAAUAUAUCCAGCCAGUAGGUGGCACUAGCAUUUGCUAGUGGUGAUCUUAAUUGGGGGCAGAGUCCCUUCCUUCUUCCUGCCUGUAGCUUUGUUGAUCUGGUCGCUUCCUGUUACACAAUAAAGUAGUCUUAGCCUAUAAUGGCUGCAUUCCUCUGAGCUCUCAUGAUGGACAUGUUCACACUCAAGAAACUUUUCUCUCUCACUUGGGCAACUUCACUGGGUAAAAGUCCUACCCAAAGUUCCAGCUCUUCUACCUUGUUGUUCCCCUUUCUCCUCCUCUUCAGAUGUCAUCUUCUUUUUCCUCUUUUUUGCAGUGCCUUCUCUUGCACUGCAAUCCCACUGACUGCCCUAUUGCCUUUACAUCAUGUCCCAACACUAACCUUUCCUCCUUGAUGGUUUCAGCUUAGACUUCAGACACCCAGCAUCUCCCCCACCUCUACUGCCAUACUAAGUUCCAUCAAAACAAAGCCAUCUAUAAUCUUCAGAAAAGUCUGGCACUGCAAGUCACAGGUUUGGACUGUAAAUCCCUUAACUCGCUAACAGCAGAGAAAUCAAACUCUUUUAUAAAAUGGUCAGCAUUUUAUUUCCAGCCACAGGCUUGAGUGCAGUCGAUUUCAUAAGCUGUGAUAGCAUGUAGAAGAAAGUGUCGGGGCUUAUGCGGAAAAGCUGAUAAAGUCAUCAAAGCGCUGUAACGUUAAGAGAAAAUUUAAUGAUUCCCAAUCAUUCUCUCCCUGAAUUGGAUUACUCUGCGGACUUCACAGCACAUUCAAAACUGCUUACUUUCAGAUGAAGGCCUUCUGGUGUUGUAUGCCAAGACAAUAGAGAUUUCAAUGACAAAAAAAGAAGACAGGCAGCUAGAGAUGCUGCAGAAUUGCAAAGCAGGAGAAAAACGGCUACAGCUCAUGGGCACAGACGUUCAAUUUUUCUGUUAAAAAAAUUUGUCAUGUCAUGUUGUGUUUGGGGAACGGUAGCAAGGGGAGCAUGAAAUUGUUCUUAUCUCUGAUGGAUAUUUGCCGAAAGUACAUUUAAAGAAAUAGUGAAAGAUUUUGGCAUUGGGACUGUGGCAGUUUAGGAAAAAGUCUGGAAAACUGAAAGGAGGAGAGUGAAUAUUAAUGAGAACACUAGAGAGAGGAAAAUAAAUGAAGAUGGUAAUGGCAAUACAGAGCAGUGUAACAGCAAGACUGGAGAUAAAGAACAUCUGCACAUCUGUUUCUAGGAUUAUAGUGAGGACUGAAAGUGAGCCAUUAAAAAUAAACCUUGAGCAGCAUCCAGACUAAGUUACUCAACAGUACUACUCAGUGAAAAGGCCAAGUCUCCUCAAAUGCCAGAUCUCAACUGCAUAUCAAGGCCACAGGAUACGGACUGCUCAGAACAUCUGUCAGUUUCUUCUCUUCACAAAAUCUUGCAGAAAUGCUAUGAGAUUUCUGAAGGCUCACAGAUCUUUUAAAAUAUGGAACAAAAAUUUUCACCGCUAGCCACCAUGAAGAUACAGAACACUGUAUUUCCUAGAUUAAACUACUUUUUGUUUGUUUGAGAUUCCCAAUAAAUAAAUAAGUUCCAAAGUG